rnacentral:lncRNA from 1 species
UGCUAUUGUUGGUGCUGCUAUGGCUAAAACAUUCAAGUACCUGAAACAUCCAGAUACAGAUGUAAUGCUAAUUACAGAGUUUCAUCGGAGUUUUUGAAGUUUUGAAUUUGAAGUCAUGUAAAAACACCAAAAGUUGCCUUUUAUAAGUCCACAAAGCAUUUGAAUAUCUUUAAUAGAAGAAUGGUAAACUCUCCUCCACCUGAAGAAAUGUUUGAUCUGAGUGAAUACCAUGAGAUGGUUGCAAAGAAUGAGAUCCCUAAUUCAUGGCUUUAGGAAACCUAAUCUUUAUUUCAAGCUGGAAGACGCAGCCCAGGAUUUUCUUAAUGCUCAGGUCCACCCCAUCGCCAGUCCAUGAGAAAUGUAUCUGCCACAGCUCACGUAUCCAGGCAAGAGCCGCUUAUCCCUUGUGUGGAAAAUGACAUUCCACAGAGCCCCCUUCCACCACUGCUGGCUUCUUUUAGAAUUGAAACUCAGAACAAAGGGGUGAGAAGAGACAAACAACAAAGGACCUGACACUUUGUGAAGAAUGACAGCAAUGCCUAUGAGACUGUGACCUCUUUCAGCAUAAGGACCAUUCAACUAUUUCUACUCUCCUGAACCUGUCAUUCAGUCAAAAAUCUGUUGAAAAGGUAAGUGAAGGAGCAAUGCAACACGUUGGCUACUUAAAGGAAGGUUUUGGGGUAACUGGAUGGUUCAGAUUGAAAUUUUGUUCUUG